GGGGGGUGUCCAUCCCGCGCGGGGUAGAAGCGGACGGGGCAGGGGGGUGCGUGCCAUUGCAGCCUGGCCCCUAGAGAGCCCGAGGGCUCGAGCAGUCUCCCCUCGCGGCUGCUGCGACGUGCAGCGCUGUUGUAGCGCAAUGACACCGAGAAACGGGCAACACGUCACAGAGACCGCUCUGACGUUGCAAAGACAUCCCUGCCCGAACAGGGGAGGAAGACACACCGCUGCACCGAGUGCAGGAAGGACUUCAUCAGCUGGCAAGGCGUGUCGCACCACCGGUGUGUGCGGAGGGGGCAGCAGCCACACCGCUGCACCGAGUGUGGGAAGAGCUUCAGGCAGCCGUCCAGCCUGGCCCGGCACCACCGCAUCCACACAGGGGAGAAGCCAUAUCCGUGCUCUGAGCGUGCGAAGAGCUUCACCUACUCCUGCAGCCUGUGCCGAACACCGGUGCAUCUCGCAGGGGAGAAGUGACGUGGGUGCUCUGAGUAUUGGAAAGGCUUCACCCACCUCUCCCACCCAUCCUGGAAUCAGCACGUCCACACCCAGAAGCAUCCCUAGUUGUGCCGGCAGUGCAGGAAGGGCUUGGAGAUGUGUGCCUGCUCAGCACCCAGCAGGGGCUGCGUUCAGACAAGCACCCUCAUGCUGGUGGCCUGCAGAAGGAGUUCCCCCAGGCUUUGUCCCUCGUAGGGCACAGCGGGAGUCCAGAGCCCAGAGGCUGGCCCCCAAGGUGUCAUUGUCGGGGAAGGGGGUUAAGAGGAAACGCCUCAGGCAGAGGUCAGCCCCGAUGUAGGGGAAGGAGAGGAGGUGAUCUUUGCAUCAGCCUUGGAGCCUGUGCAUUCCCCAUCAGUCUCUAACAGUACUCCCAGGGGAAGAAGUGCGUUCACGCUAGGGUGCCCUCCCCCACACAGCUGACUUCAAGUGACACCCGGGCACUUUUCUUCGCUGCCUCCCAGCUUUCUCCUUCCUCCUGGUCCAGGGGUUCUGGUGUAUGAGCCCCUGAGUUGCAGGGAGGAGUGCAUUUAAGGCUGGGGAAGCAUUCCCUACCCUCCUCCCUGACCUCGCCUUUCCUCACCACCACAUCACCCCUCUCCCAGACCUGCCCAUGCCCAGUGGGGUCUGCAAGGAGCUGCUUCUGCCACCCCCGGAGCCUUUUUGGCCUAUUUUGCCCAGCCACGAGGCCUUUUGGAAGAGCGGGAGGGAAGGCUGCAGCCUCUGCGGGAGGAGCGCGGCGAGCGCUGCCCAUUUGUGUGCAAGGGAAGAGGAAUCCAGCCCGGUGAUUUUCUCUGGGGGGCCGAGCGCAGAUCAAUCUCGCCGUGUGCUGUGAAGCCUAAAGGACACCUUGAAAAGUUCUUUUCUUCUGUCAGGAACCGGCGGACGGCUCCCUCCCCGCGGCUCCUCGGGGACUUCCUGACGGGUUCCCGACAGCAAAGGGAACGUGGUCCCCAGCGGCCGCCGGGCGCCGGCCUCCUUCCCCCCAGCCAGCCCCAGGUCGCAGGGCAGCGCCUGGGGACCGGACGCCGGCGAGCACCGGGCUGCCCUGGGAUGCGGCUUUGCCAACGCUCCUCAAUCCCCUGGGCCUGGGUCCCCCACAGCUCGUCCCUCCCCUGCAGCGCCCCGCCAGCUCACCCACGGCUCUCGUGUGCCCCUUGCACCCCCUUCAUCUCCGUGGUGCUAGUCAGUGCUGCUUCUCCUCCUGGUGAUGUAAUCUUUUUAUGUAAUCUUUUUUAUGGUAUAUCUAGCUUUUGCAAACUAUAUCUAACUGAAUACUUAAGGCAACUUACUGGUGCUGGGAGGGGUGUGGUAUGUGUGUGUUAAGAGAUGCUUGCAGAGCACAGCGUGUGGGAUGCGGAGGAUUCCUGGAAUGCCUCCCUAACACCAGCAGGAUAAUGUCUCCCUGACACUUGUAAGAUAGCAAGAAGUUGAGAAAAAGGUCUCAUUAUAAUGCUAAAAAUCACACCCCUGGGCAGAGCAAAAGUAUGUUAAUGAAACAUACAUGUAUGCAAAUGAAAUACAUGGCUAAACCAUAGGUAUAGAGACAUGCUCAGUAGAGAACGUCUUAUGUCAGUGGCUUGUAACCAAUCACUGAGCGAUACACUUGCAAACAUAUGUAUAAAAGGUACCCAAAGGUAGAAACCGGUGGUGCUUGCUUUGCAAAAGAUUGCCAAGCACCCCUCUCUGCGCAGACUUGAAACAAUAAAGAUUAAGUUGGAUCCUC